CCCCCUGUGCUAAGCGCUGUACAGGGCACAUCCUUGCAGCACGGGGGAGCAUCACUUCUCCCUGACUGGCAUGGAAAAGCCCAAAGAUUCAGCCCAAAAGUGUGGAGCCUGGCAGGGGCAUCCUGCUCUGGGGACCAUGGAGACAGGAACUCUGUAAGGAAGGACUCCUCGGGAAGGUCAGAGUCGGCCCUGCAGCUGUGAGGACUUCGGAGAGCCGAAUGCCAUCGACACAAACCGCAUCAUGCAAGUCCACUGCCUGAAGCAUUAAAGACUGACGAGUUAUUUCUCCCCACUUAAAUACUCCUGCAUGUGGGGGGGCGCAGGGGGGCACAAACUUGGUGAAAUAAAACCCUCAAAGAG